rnacentral:rRNA from 1 species
GGGGGGACGCAGUAGGAUAGGCGAAGCGUGCUGUUGGAGUGCACGUCCAAGCAGUAAGGCUGAGUGUUAGGCAAAUCCGGCACUCGUUAGGCUGAGCUGUGAUGGGGAGAGGAAAUUGUUUCCUCGAGUCGUUGAUUUCACACUGCCGAGAAAAGCCUCUAGAUAGAUAACAGGUGCCCGUACCGCAAACCGACACAGGUAGUCAAGAUGAGAAUUCUAAGGUGAGCGAGCGAACUCUCGUUAAGGAACUCGGCAAAAUGACCCCGUAACUUCGGGAGAAGGGGUGCUCUUUAGGGUUCACGCCCAGAAGAGCCGCAGUGAAUAGGCCCAAGCGACUGUUUAUCAAAAACACAGGUCUCUGCUAAACCGUAAGGUGAUGUAUAGGGGCUGACGCCUGCCCGGUGCUGGAAGGUUAAGAGGAGUGGUUAGCUUCUGCGAAGCCACGAAUCGAAGCCCCAGUAAACGGCGGCCGUAACUAUAACGGUCCUAAGGUAGCGAAAUUCCUUGUCGGGUAAGUUCCGACCCGCACGAAAGGCGUAACGAUUUGGGCACUGUCUCAACGAGAGACUCGGUGAAAUCAUAGUACCUGUGAAGAUGCAGGUUACCCGCGACAGGACGGAAAGACCCCGUGGAGCUUUACUGUAGCCUGAUAUUGAAAUUCGGCACAGCUUGUACAGGAUAGGUAGGAGCCAUUGAAACGUGAGCGCUAGCUUACGUGGAGGCGUUGGUGGGAUACUACCCUAGCUGUGUUGGCUUUCUAACCCGCACCACUUAUCGUGGUGGGAGACAGUGUCAGGCGGGCAGUUUGACUGGGGCGGUCGCCUCCUAAAAGGUAACGGAGGCGCUCAAAGGUUCCCUCAGAAUGGUUGGAAAUCAUUCACAGAGUGUAAAGGCAUAAGGGAGCUUGACUGCGAGACUUACAAGUCGAGCAGGGUCGAAAGACGGACUUAGUGAUCCGGUGGUUCCGCAUGGAAGGGCCAUCGCUCAACGGAUAAAAGCUACCCCGGGGAUAACAGGCUUAUCUCCCCCAAGAGUUCACAUCGACGGGGAGGUUUGGCACCUCGAUGUCGGCUCAUCGCAUCCUGGGGCUGUAGUCGGUCCCAAGGGUUGGGCUGUUCGCCCAUUAAAGCGGUACGCGAGCUGGGUUCAGAACGUCGUGAGACAGUUCGGUCCCUAUCCGUCGUGGGCGUAGGAAAUUUGAGAGGAGCUGUCCUUAGUACGAGAGGACCGGGAUGGACAUACCUCUGGUGUACCAGUUGUCGUGCCAACGGCAUAGCUGGGUAGCUAUGUAUGGACGGGAUAAGUGCUGAAAGCAUCUAAGCAUGAAGCCCCCCUCAAGAUGAGAUUUCCCAACUUCGGUUAUAAGAUCCCUCGAAGAUGACGAGGUUAAUAGGUUCGAGGUGGAAGCGUGGUGACACGUGGAGCUGACGAAUACUAAUCGAUCGAAGACUUAAUCAA